rnacentral:piRNA from 1 species
UAAGCAAGCUGAUGGUGGAUUUCCUUAUA